UCUUCGAAGAAGAAAGAUAAGAUAUUGGGUUCGACAUAGUUUAGGUUGUAAACUAGAGGUCACAAUUAGAAACUUAGGAUGACUAAUCUGCAUUGACAAUUUGGUUGUCCGUAUUGUUACUCAAACAAUUAGAAAUGAGUAUCACAAGUUAACUAAAUUCAUUGUGUCCUAUAAUAUGCCUUUAAGGUAGAUAGGACAGGGUGGAGGCUUGGCAAUGAGAAAGAUCGUUGGAUAUAGGUGGCUGCACCCAUAAACGUGUAAACGAGGUUGAGACAGAGGUUAGUAUAUUUUCUUCUUAUAUUAACAUUUUGUUCGAGUAUGAUACGAAAACCGCUGAAUGGUUGAACUGAAUUUAUCUUUCUCUGUUUAUUUUAUUUUUUCACAACUUCUCUAACAGGUUAUUAUUUAUAUGCAACAUAGGCAUUCACAAAAUGUGUUUGAAAGUUCAUAUAAAUAAUCCCAUCAUCAAUAAUCCUUAUCUUACACUCUCGCAAGUACUCGACCAGAAGCAUGCCGGUUUAAAGGACAUUCUGCUAAAAAGGUUAUUUCCUCUUUUAUUGACUCAUGAUUACUUACGAAAUGCAGGUUCCAACCACUAGUUAGUAGGUAUAUAAUUCAGAUAUACAUAAUAUUACUUGUGUUAGUGAUAUGCCAACAUAUAUGCAGACAGGAUAAAGUUAUUGUACUGCUUGUUAGUAAAAUAUGUUCCCACUAUGAGUUGUCAUUCCUCAUCGAGAUACCUUUAGCCAAGACAGGAUUAAUGUAUAAGUUCAGAUGCAUAACCUGAAUUUGCAUAAAAUCAAGAAUUGGUAUGCACACUGUUCCCUGUAUUUAGGAAACAUUGAUAUUCUCCAAGUUUUGAUAUGAGAGGAGUACUCAUUCGGGGUGAAACGAUGUCUACUCAUAACUCAUCUACGAUUACAGAUCAAUAUAUUCUAUGGGACUAAAUAUAUUAGCUAGAAAAGGAAUUAGCAUAAAAUUAUUGAAUAAGAUUCAGUUUGCAAAGAGAUUUUGGGUAAAUCUUUAUUUCUUUGUGCUUUUCUGUGAUAAUAGCAAGGGCAGGUAAUUACUGAUUUCUACAUGUUGAUGAUUUUUCUAAUCACUCUUCUGCACGAGUGUUGGAUUAACAAGAUAUUUCAGAAAUUUUUUUUUAUUUUUUUUUUCUCUCCUUUGACCUUAUGAUGUAGAUUGGUAUUAUGUUCAUAUCGCCCCAAUUUAUCUUACCUUUCAGAAAAUCUAAUUUUGAAAAAAAAAAGAAAAAAACUCAUUUAGAGACUAGUUUAUUCUAUUUUAAUGAAAGUCUACAAAUUGAUAUUGUUUUAUUAUUUAUUUUAGUGAAUAAGCCUACUAAUUAAAGAGUUUCAAGGAUCAUAAUUUGCAUAAAGUCUACAAAUAUUUAUGUUUUUAUUUUUAUUUUUUUGAAUACGCCUAAAAAAAAUUGGGGCUGUCCGCGACAUAUAGCCCACCCUCCUGUUAAUUAUUGGCUCUGCCAUUGCAUGUAUGCCUGGUCUGUGCUCAUAUUUACGAAAAUUGUCUAUAUAUGUCAUCAGAUUACCGUGCAUUAAAUUUGACCUUAUCUUGUUUCUAACGUCCUCGUCGUUCUUAUCCAGAGGGGUACAGAAAAUAUUAUCGUUAUAUUGUAUUAUGUAAUAGAAAAGUAACUAAAAAUUUUGAACAAAAUAUUUUUUUGGAGAGUCAAUGGCCCCUCCAAAGCACGCCUCGGUUACGCGCGUGUGGUGCACAUAUUUAUGAAAAUUGUUUAUAUAUGUCAUCAGAUUACAGUGAAUUAAAUUUGACCUUAUCUUAUUUCUAACGUCCACGUCAUUCUUAUCUGGAACACGGAAAAUCUUAUCGUCCCAUUAAAUGAAAGGAAAUAUUUUUGCCUAUAUAUAUUGGUUUUCUACAUUGUCUCUCUGCAACUUUCACUUUGUUAUUUAUUCAGUGUUAGGUUAAGAGCGAAUGCUUAUAACCUAAGCAGUCACUUCUUUACUCGUGGAGGAGCAGUUGACCGGAACCUUGCCAUCGGAGACUUGUCCUGUAAAAAUCCGUUUGCAGCCAUGGCUGGUUCAAUGGGAGGUCAAUACUCGAAGAGCAAAAGAAAAUCUAAAUCAGAUAAGUAUGACAAAUCCAACAAGAAGCCUGAAGUGUUCAGUUCAAUCGGGCAACAGUCCUGAUGAACCAAAAGACAAGAAUCCUCAGUCAAAUUAUACGCAACACCUCGUGCACCUAACAUCGAUCGAAUCGAAACUGCAAUGAACUAGUCGGAGGAAGUUCGUUGAGAUGAAAACGAUGUUGGCUGUUUGCAGAAGUUGAUGUGGUUUGAAUGGCACUCCGGCGACCUCAACAGCCACCAGCUCCAUUCUGACCUAGAUCCAUAUAUAGUAUAUACUAGCUAGUGAGAGGUAUAUACCGAGACUCAAAAUGCCCAAAUUACACCAUGCCGACACUGAAGCAUUUAAGUUGAAUGGAUCCGAGUCUGAGAGGGAGGUGGCAGAAAUUCUGAAGAGAAGAGAAAAUGCAUCAGAAAACUUUCCGACUUUGAGAAGCAGGUUAGCAAUUUGCAGUCACAGUGCGAGGAAGAAAAGCAGAGGUUGCUGCCAGCUGGAGCCAGAGUUGCUUCAAGCUAAGAGAAAAGCUGAGCCUCUGGCUCUGGCUCUGGCUCUGGCUCUGGCUCGUUCAAAGGGAGGUAAACACUUGAUGAACGAAGGCAGUUUCUUAAUCGAAUAGGUCUGGCACGUUCAACAAAGAUGGCACAUUUAACAAAGGAGCCUGAACUAUUCAGUUCUAAGUUUCCUUCAGCACAAUCGAGCAACAAUCCUGAUGGAACAAAGGAUUUAAAAGACAAGAAUCCUCAGUCAAAUGUAAUUCAAAGAUUCGCUGUUGAAAUCUGGAUAUAGUACGACAGAAGUAAGAAACAGCAAUCUUAAGUGCUGGGCAUAUCCAUGGGCGGGUGGAUAUUCUUAAUAAUAUUUUGACAAAUUCAACUGCUUUUAUUGAAAAAAGGGUGGAACCAACAAGCAAAGCUUUCAAAAACAUGGAUGAGUUAUACAAAACUAUGCUAGAAACCAUGGUUUUACGUUGAAGCUAAAAAAUGCUCAAAUUAGAGCCGACACUGAAGCGUUUAAGUUGAAUGGAUCCAAGUCUGAGAAGGAGGUGGCAGAAAUUCUGAAGAGAUAAAGAAAAUGCACCAGAAAACUUACCGAAUUAUAUCUACUAAUUAUCUAUGUAAAUGCUGGUUGUCUUGGUAAUUAGUUUAGUUUUCGUCUCUUCAUUUCCAUUUGGUUCCGGAAAAUUUAUUUGCUAUGCAUAUUUCUGAGAGAAUCAUUCCCACUUGUAAAGAAACAUGUCUUAUUUCCUGUAUUUAGAUCUCAUUGCACAAAUAAGAAGAAAAAAAUAAAAAAGAUAAAAAAUAACAGUCCUACUAUGGACUUCUUCUGUUUCG